rnacentral:lncRNA from 1 species
UUUUGGCAGCAUCCAAGUGUUUUUAUCAAUGACCAAAUACCAACUGCCGUGGGUAAUACUAUAAUUGUAUAUUCCUGAUGUUUACCACUUACUAAAAUGGCUAGUUAAACAUUACCCAAUUAACUACAAAAUAAAAUCAGUUUGAGCUGUCUGAAAUGUAGCUAACAGAAUUCGACAGACUGUCAUUGUAGUUUAAGCUUCUGGGACGCUGAUGAUGCUUUCAGGCUUUGGCUAUCUGUUGCUCAGAAACUACAUAUUCCUUUUGCUGAUUAGGUUCUAUAUGCCAAGGAACCUUCCUAAUGAAUUGGCAGGCAGGAAUCUGUUUGCAUCCCUUUUGCACUAAGGUUUGUUUCUGUUUUGUACUACAUGUCCUGAUUGUUUUGUUUGUUUGAUUGUUUAUUUUUAGGAGGUUUACUUUCCCUAGCAUUGAGGAAACAGAAGCACUAGAACAUGUUAUGGGAAAUUGCAAAAACAGUUAGUAACCCAAAUUUGGAAAGCCCUGGGCUGCUUCUGUUUGUAGGUUAAAUCAAGCAUGAAGUUGUAGGAGCAAGAAUCAUCUUUUCCCUGCACUGAGUUAUAAGGGUAGGAAGGAAUUGGGCUGGUGCAGAAACUGGAAAAAUCAAAGCAGCUGAGUUCCCCUAGGGUGCUCUUUUCAUUAUCAUUCAGUGAGUAGCUCCGGCUAGAAGUAAUGCUGCUCAUCUACUGUGCUUCCUCCUCCUGGCUAUAAUGAAUCACAGUUUGCCAGUGUGAUGCAUACACCUUGACUUUGGUACUAAUCCACUAUCAUAGCUACCUAUUUCCUUCAACAUGAGAGAAGGGUAUGUUCAUCUAGAGUAGAAGUCUGAAUGGAAGCACCAUUUCUUGCCAUCCUGGCAAUGUGACUUUGAUUUCACACAGUGAAAUCAACACACUGGCACACACUGGGAGACUGGUGAUUGAAAUAAGCUGGUUGUUGGUUAUAACAGCUGACUGGCAUUCUCACCUCUUUGACUCUCACAGUUCUCACUCUAUAUGUUUCCUUAGACUUUAUUCCUACUAGUUAUUUCUCUUUCCCUCCCAUUUCCUUCCCAUAUGGAAUUACUGUAUUUUUAAACUUGUUAUCCUAUCUGAUAGCAACCUUAUUGCUGAUUGCUUCACAGUUGCCUAUAUAUUUAAACUAUUUUUGUUAUAUAUCUAUCUCUGCACCUGUAUAUUUUCUUGGUCAAUCAUUUCUGGCAUUUUUGUUGUUGGUUUGGAUUGGAAUAUUUGUUUUGGUAGUGUGUAGGACAGUAAGUUUUUCUGGUUUAGCUAUCUGUGCAUUUAUUUAUUAAUUUUCAAAAGAGACUUAGAUAAAUAAACUAAGAAU